rnacentral:rRNA from 1 species
CACGUAGUUAGCCGGGGCUUCUUAAUCAGGUACCGUCUGGCGACCCAAAGGUCGCUAUUUCUUCCCUGCUGAUAGAGCUUUACAUACCGAAAUACUUCUUCACUCACGCGGCGUCGCUGCAUCAGGGUUUCCCCCAUUGUGCAAUAUUCCCCACUGCUGCCUCCCGUAGGAGUUUGGGCCGUGUCUCAGUCCCAAUGUGGCCGUUCACCCUCUCAGGCCGGCUACUGAUCGUCGCCUUGGUGAGCCAUUACCCCGCCAACAAGCUAAUCAGACGCGGAACCAUCGUAUACCACCGGAGUUUUUCACACCACUUCAUGCGAAGCUGUGCGCUUAUGCGGUAUUAGCACCUAUUUCUAAGUGUUAUCCCCCAGUAUACGGCAGGUUUUCCACGCGUUACUCACCCGUCCGCCACUAACUCAUAAAUCACUAGGUUUCAAUAUGAGCCCGUUCGACUUGCAUGUGUUAAGCACGCCGCCAGCGUUCAUCCUGAGCCAGGAUCAAACU